rnacentral:rRNA from 1 species
UACGUAGGGGGCAAGCGUUGUCCGGAAUCAUUGGGCGUAAAGGGCGCGUAGGUGGCCCGGUCAGUCUUUGGUGAAAGCGCGGGGCUCAACCCUGCGUCGGCCAGGGAUACUGCCGCGGCUCGAGCACUGUAGAGGCAGGCGGAAUUCCGGGUGUAGCGGUGGAAUGCGUAGAGAUCCGGAAGAACACCGGUGGCGAAGGCGGCUCACUGGCCCGAUACUGACGCUGAGGCACGAAAGCGUGGGGAGCAAACAGG